AACGAACGCUGGCGGCAGGCCUAACACAUGCAAGUCGAACGCCCUAGCAAUAGGGAGUGGCAGACGGGUGAGUAACACGUGGGAACCUUUCCUAUAGUACGGAAUAACCCAGGGAAACUUGGAGUAAUACCGUAUACGCCCGAGAGGGGAAAGAUUUAUCGCUAUAGGAUGGGCCCGCGUCGGAUUAGCUAGUUGGUGAGGUAAGGGCUCACCAAGGCAACGAUCCGUAGUUGGUUUGAGAGAAUGACCAGCCACACUGGGACUGAGACACGGCCCAGACUCCUACGGGAGGCAGCAGUGGGGAAUCUUGGACAAUGGGCGCAAGCCUGAUCCAGCCAUGCCGCGUGAGUGAUGAAGGCCUUAGGGUUGUAAAGCUCUUUUGGCGGGGACGAUAAUGACGGUACCCGCAGAAUAAGUCCCGGCUAACUUCGUGCCAGCCGCCGCGGUAA
rnacentral:rRNA from 1 species